ACUAGCAGUAAGAGUUUGAUCCUGGCUCAGAUUGAACGCUGGCGGCAUGCCUAACACAUGCAAGUCGCACGCGAAAGGGGGCAACCCCGAGUAGAGUGGCGGACGGGUGCGUAAUACGUAGGAAUCUACCUAGUACGUGGGGGACAACCCGGCGAAAGCCGGGCUAAUACCGCAUACGGACCUAUGGGUGAAAGCCGGGGACCGCAAGGCCUGGCGCUAUUAGAUGAGCCUGCGUCGGAUUAGCUAGUUGGUGGGGUAAAGGCUCACCAAGGCGACCGAUCCGUAGCUGGGUCUGAGAGGACGACCAGCCACACUGGGACUGAGACACGGCCCAGACUCCUACGGGAGGCAGCAGUGGGGAAUAUUGCGCAAUGGGCGAAAGCCUGACGCAGCGACGCCGCGUGUGGGAUGACGGCCUUCGGGUUGUAAACCACUGUCGGGAGGGACGAAGAUCUGACGGUACCUCCAAAGGAAGCACCGGCUAACUCUGUGCCAGCCGCCGCGGUAAUAC
rnacentral:rRNA from 1 species